ACUGUACCGAAGGGGGGUCUCGACGAGCGAGGCUGAGAGGCCGGGGCUAGUGCCGGCGACCCUUUGAACCUGAUCCGGGUCAUGCCGGCGAAGGGAUCGGACCGCAACUCCGC
rnacentral:ncRNA from 2 species